AUGAGCAUCUUAGUUAUCUUGUCUGUUUUCUUUAAAAUAUCACCAAGAAAGGCAAAAUAAUUUAAUUCGUAACCUAAUUGACUCUUUUACACCCUUUGACGUAUAAACACGUCAAUUAGCGCAUAGCCGCUCCCUCCCCAUGACGUAUUAAUACGUCAGUCACGUGUUUUCAUGGGGGAGGGUGCAAGAGAAUCUGAUGCAACUUCUCACCACAGAAUUAGGCUUGACAGCAAUGUUAAAUAGCAAAAAAAUGGCCAUCGGGUGGCAGUGGUGCAAAAAUCAACGGGCGUACAGUGAAUGAGGGGCGUAUGUGGAUAGUGGAUUGGAACAUUAGCAACAAGCAACGAUGGAGAAAAGAAAAUAACUAACUAAAAAGGAUUUUUUUCGGUAUAAAAGCGUCCUCGAAACUAAACAACAAAGGAGAGAAAAUGAUGCUUUGGUCACGUAAUCGAAAGCGGAACCCGUCAAACAAACGUUGGCCUGCACAAACAUGGCGUACUACACGCGCCCCGCAAAGCUCACGCCGAGUUUGGAGUUCAUCUGAUGAAGAUGAACAUGCUCCACGUCAGCGACCAUCGCUUGGCAGAGCAUUUUGUGCCUCCCGAUGCCCCAGGUCGCCCACAAAUCAUCUCCCCGGCGACUUCCAGCGAUGACGGCAAAGAGGCUGCAUUGCUUCGCAUGCUGAUGCCGGGCACACAUCAGCGAUUCGUUGGAAUCGUCUCGUAAUGACGAUGGCGAAAACGAUGAAUUGGAGAGUGAUUUGGAUCCCGAUAUGUCGGACAAAUACGUGCCUUCGGACAUAACGGAAAGCAGCUGAGAGUCCUCGCCAGAGCCGCUGGAACGAGGAGAUUGUCCAACCAGACGCCAAAAGAUGAUGACUCCUUGCUUUGGUGGUGGAAAGAAAGGUCGUGCAUCUGGACCUGGUAGGAUGAAUCGAUGUGGUGACAAACUGGAUGGAAGCCAAAAACCAUCUUCUCCACAGCUGGACUUUGGUUCAUAGUUGAAUAAUUUUGUUGUGUGCAAAUAAAUUAUUUUGCUACAAAAACAUUAUUUGUAAUGUUCUUUUGCAGGAGGAACACAUUAUUGAGGUAUUUGAGCUGUCACAAAAGCAAAAAAUAAUGUAAAACUUGAAAUGAUGCUUGAAAUGCAUGCUUUUACAAAAAGCUCAUUUUCACUGGAUUUCUGCAGAAAAUCGGCCUUUUCCAUAAAACCUAGCAGUUUUCUAAUGCAGAUUGCCAACGAACGGGAGACAUGGAAACAAACGUUUUUUUCUGCUGAAAGAAGAGAGUCUCACCUUUCUUUUGACAGGUUGCAUAUGUAUAUAUAGCCAUUGAACAAAAAAUUCUGUGGGCCUUGCAAAUUGGUCGAAAUUCAGUAAAAUGUGAGUGAUUGAGGGGGUUGCUCCAGUGAA